UACUUUUCCAUUUUGAUUGUGAUUAAUUUGAUUGUGAUUUCUUUUGGUAAAUUGAUUGAUGACGAUUAGAUUUUUAUUUAUUGAUUAAAUUAGAGUGACACACACACACACACUCACACUCACACGCGGUGUCUCACAUUCGUAUAUAGUGGAUACAAAGUGAUAAAAGAAUAACAGUUUUACCAUAGAGAUUGAAUAUCUGUUUGGGAUGAGAAAAAGAGACAAUCAAAAGUGAUUCUUGUGUUAACACUAUUAAGUAAAUGGUGGUAAAGGAAACCAUUAUCAAGCGUUUUUAUUAACCGUGAGAUUGAACAUACAGUAAAUGAUAACAGUUUUCUAUCAUCAUCAUUAAAUGAAGAAGAUCAACUCGAAGAAGUGAAGAUGAUGAAGAUAAUGAUGAUGAUAUUCCUUAUUAUAUUAUUGUUAUAUUGGAAGACACAACAGACAAAAGAUUUUUAUUCUUUUUUUGUUGUUGUUGUUGUUCCUUCUUUGAUUUUGGUUAAUAAGGUCAAUAUAAUAAUAAUAGAUGAGAUUGUCAUCCUCAUCUCUAUUUUUUUUUCUUCAUCCUCCUUCUCAUCUCCAUCACAUAUUCAUCUUGUUCAUCUUCCUCCUCCUUCAUCAUCACCAGUGGAAAACCAAUUUACCGUUACAGUCUAUUAGAUACAAGAUAUAAUGUAAAUAAUAUUAUAAACUGUUUCUAUUUUAACUCCUUAAGAGACAGUAAUGAUAAUAUAAUCAACCCAAUGAUGAUGAUACUAAUAUAAACAAUCAAUUAUUGAUUAUAUUAUUCCCAGUUGAAUAUAAUAACAACAGUUAUUUAAUCGAGUUGAUAUUAAACAGGGAGUGUUUUCCAAAUGUAUAUAUAGUUAAUAUUGUAACAGUUUAAAUGAUAUAAAUAGUUAAGUGUUUACCUGUGACCACACAAGAUGACUUAGACUGAUGAUGAGCAUCUUCAUCAUCAACAUCAAGAUCAACUCAUUGGGACACCAGCAAAAUGAUUCAACAAUUUACCAUCAUGAUUAACUGAAUGAAGAAAUUCAUUAAUUUAACAGUUUAUCUUUACUCUUACUUGACACCUUGGAUUCAACAAUCAGCAAUCUAAUUACAACUGAAUUUGGAUAAAUAAACAACAUUGGAACAAGUAGAAAACCAAUGAAUGGUCAAUCGUAAUACUUAUUGGUCAUGGAAGGAGAUGAGGAAAAAAAAGAGUUACAAAGAGUAACAUAUUUACACAGAUCUUAAAGUUUUCUGUAAUUCUUGUGUUGACCUUUGGUCAAGGAUCAUCUCUAAGAGACAUUUGCUUAACAAUAUUACCGUAAAUGAGAUGGAAAAGAAAAGAGUUGAUUUCUUUUCUUCUUCAUCAUCUUCUUCGUCUUAUCAUUUCUCUUUCUUUUUUUAGAUGGUAAACAUAAGACUCACUUAUUGACAAUGAAGAAGAAGAUGAUGAUGAUUAUGAUGAGGAUGAAAAGAAAACGAAAAGGCCUCAGGAGAUACUGGACACUGGACACGAUAAAGGCCAUAAAAGUUGAACAUAAACAACUAGCACCCACCAUCACUGUCCACUAUCAUCAUUGUCAUCAUACCUUUUCAAGACCUUUACCCUUCACCCUAUUGUCCCUUCUGGUCAACUCAAACCUUUCUCCCUCCCUCUUCCAUUAUCAUCACCCUGUGGCCCUUGGGUCAUCAUCAACAUCAUUACAAAAGCUUGACCAUUAUUAUCAGUUGACAAUAUUUUCAUUCAUAUGAAAUGCAAACGAAAAAAAAAGUUUUUUCUUUGACAAAAGGUAAGAAGUAUAAAUCUCAGGUAAAUGGAAAACUUUUUUUUUCAAAUUUCAUUAUUUUCUUUUCUUGAUAUAAACAAAAGUAGAGUAAAUUUUUCUUCAAUUAUUUUCAUAUUAACAAUUGAUUUUCAGUUGAAUACAAUCAAUAUUAUACGACGUAUAGGAGAUGGGACAGCAAUUAACUUUUAAACAGACAAAAUAAUUAGGCAAAAGUUACAUUAAGUUAACCUUAGGAAACUUGGGCUACCUUUGUAACCUUAGGGAGUCAUGGACACCAUGAAGAUGACAAAGAUGAAGAUGAGGAUAAUGAUGAUAAGAGAAAGAGAGAGAGAGGGAGUGACAGAAGAUGAUAAUAAUGACUGAAUGAGAGAGAGAGAGAGAGAGAGAGAUAAUGGUUAAAGGUGAAAAAUUAUUACCUGAGAUUGACCAUAAAAUUGGAGUUGACCAUUGGUUUCGUUGUGAUUCUUGACCAAUGGUCAUUUGGGGGAAUAUUUUGAGCUUUAAAAUGUUUGGUCCGUCAGGGAACCAAAGCCGACUGUCUAAAUUAUUGUCAAACAAAUAACAAUUACCAACGAAAAAUGAUUAACAAUAUAACAAUUAACCCAAGAGACAAUAAUUCAACCAAUUGUAAUGUCAACUGAUUCUCAACAAUUAUAAAUAAUCAAUCAAAGAUGAUGAAGAAGAAAAAAUCUCAACAAUUAAUUGAAACCACACACAUUCACCAAUGUGAAUUAAAAUUAACCAUUUGAAAAUUUAUAAUAAUUAAUAAUCAACACAAUAGUUGAACAACAAUUAAUAACAAUUAAAUGUCAUAUGUAAAAAAAAUGAAUAUAAAAUUACGGAAAUAAAUUUUCAUUCAUCUUGAUUACGGAACAAUAAUCAACUGAUGAUGAUUAACAAGAUGAUUCAACUGAUAUUGUUGAUGAUAAGCACGUUCAUUGACACGCACACAGAGAUAGCGACACACACGCGCAUUCAGCACGUAGCACGUGCUAAAACAUAACAAACCUAUGGAUCCAUUGUAAUGAUAACCUUUUGAGGUUUGGACAAUCAGAGAGAUGAUCAAAAAAGAUAAACAAACAAUCAGAUUAACAAUUGACAAUCUUUUACAAAAUUAUCAUUAUUAUUAUCCUCUGAUCACAAUUAACUAACCAAGAAAAUAAAUAUACAGAUUAACAAUUUAUCUAAAUUGUUAAUAAUAAUU